UACGAAGGUCCCAAGCGUUAUCCGGAUUUAUUGGGUUUAAAGGGUGCGUAGGCGGGCUAUUAAGUCAGUGGUGAAAUCCUGUUGCCCAACAACAGAAUUGCCAUUGAUACUGAUGGUCUUGAGUACAUUUGAAGUGGGCGGAAUGUGUCAUGUAGCGGUGAAAUGCUUAGAUAUGACACAGAACACCGAUUGCGUAGGCAGCUCACUAAACUGUAACUGACGCUGAGGCACGAAAGCGUGGGGAACAAACAGG
rnacentral:rRNA from 1 species